UACGUAGGGGGCAAGCGUUGUCCGGAUUUAUUGGGCGUAAAGAGCGUGUAGGCGGCUUUACAGGUCCGUUGUGAAAACUCGAGGCUCAACCUCGAGACGCCGGUGGAAACCGUAAGGCUAGAGUCCGGAAGAGGAGAGUGGAAUUCCUGGUGUAGCGGUGAAAUGCGUAGAUAUCUGGAGGAACACCGGUGGCGAAGGCGGCAUCCUGGACCAACACUGACACUGAGGAGCGAAAGCCAGGGGAGCGAAACGGG
rnacentral:rRNA from 1 species